UCACAAUGAUGAGCUUCCACUUCAUGGUCCGUGUUUUUGAACCACAUGAUAUUUAACGAAGUUCUGAGCUU